GUAAAUUGGUAGCAUUCCUGUAGAGUCUUUUUCCUUUUUGUUAUCUGUUUAGCAGAAAUUUAGGAUUGCUUUGGAGUAUGGAUGAAUUAUUUUCUAGUUUGUAUUAGCUUAAGAUAAUUAUUGCUGUGUUCGGGCUAAACACCUUGGAAAUUGUCAGCAUGAUUUCUCAUUUAUAUCUUCUCUGAGAUGUUUAUAUCUCUUCUUUCAAUCAGCCGGAUCUGGAAUGAGACAUGGCUGUCAAGUUUCUUUUACAAGCCGUGCAAUUAUGAGCUGUUU
rnacentral:misc_RNA from 1 species